rnacentral:rRNA from 1 species
AACAAGGAUUCCCCUAGUAACUGCGAGUGAAGCGGGAAAAGCUCAAAUUUAAAAUCUGGCGGUCUUUGGCCGUCCGAGUUGUAAUCUAGAGAAGUAAUGCCCGUGCUGGACCGUGUAUAAGUCUCCUGGGAUGGGGCGUCAUAGAGGGUGAGAAUCCCGUCUUUGACACGGACUACCAGUGCAUUGUGGUAUGCUCUCAAAGAGUCGAGUUGUUUGGGAAUGCAGCUCAAAAUGGGUGGUAAAUUCCAUCUAAAGCUAAAUAUUGGCGAGAGACCGAUAGCGAACAAGUACCGUGAGGGAAAGAUGAAAAGAACUUUGGAAAGAGAGUUAAACAGUACGUGAAAUUGCUGAAAGGGAAACGCUUGAAGUCAGUCGCGUUGGCCGGGAAUCAGCCUUGCUUUUGCAUGGUGUACUUUCUGGUCGACGGGUCAGCAUCAAUUUUGAUCACUGGAAAAGGCUCAAGGGAAUGUGGCAGCUUCGGCUGUGUUAUAGCCCCUGUUCACAUACAGUGGUUGGGAUUGAGGAACUCAGCACGCCGCAAGGCCGGGUUUCGACCACGUUCGUGCUUAGGAUGCUGGCAUAAUGGCUUUAAGCGACCCGUCUUGAAACACGGACCAAGGAGUCUAACAUGCCUGCGAGUAUUUGGGUGGAAAACCCAGGUGCGCAAUGAAAGUGAAAGUUGAGAUCCCUGUCGUGGGGAGCAUCGACGCCCGGACCAGAACUUUUGGGACGGAUCCGCGGUGGAGCAUGUAUGUUGGGACCCGAAAGAUGGUGAACUAUGCCUGAAUAGGGUGAAGCCAGAGGAAACUCUGGUGGAGGCUCGUAGCGAUUCUGACGUGCAAAUCGAUCGUCAAAUUUGGGUAUAGG